UACGGAGGAUGCAAGCGUUAUCCGGAAUUAUUGGGCGUAAAGCGUCCGCAGGUGGCUAAUCAAGUCUGCGGUCAAAGACCGGGGCUUAACCCUGGAAAGGCCGUGGAAACUGAUAGAGCUAGAGUACCGGUAGGGGUAGAGGGAAUUCCCGGUGUAGCGGUGAAAUGCGUAGAGAUCGGGAAGAACAUCGGUGGCGAAAGCGCUCUACUGGACGGUGACUGACACUCAGGGACGAAAGCUAGGGGAGCGGAAUGGG
rnacentral:rRNA from 1 species